AGAGUUUGAUCAUGGCUCAGAUUGAACGCUGGCGGCAGGCCUAACACAUGCAAGUCGAACGGUAGCACAGGAGAGCUUGCUCUCUGGGUGACGAGUGGCGGACGGGUGAGUAAUGCAUGGGGAGCUGCCCGAUCGAGGGGGAUACCAGCUGGAAACGGCUGCUAAUACCGCAUACGCCCUGAGGGGGAAAGGNGGGGACCUUCGGGCCUACCGCGAUUGGAUGCNCCCAUGUGGGAUUAGCUAGUUGGUGAGGUAACGGCUCACCAAGGCGACGAUCUCUAGCUGGUCUGAGAGGAUGACCAGCCACACUGGAACUGAGACACGGUCCAGACUCCUACGGGAGGCAGCAGUGGGGAAUAUUGCACAAUGGGGGAAACCCUGAUGCAGCCAUGCCGCGUGUGUGAAGAAGGCCUUCGGGUUGUAAAGCACUUUCAGUANGGAGGAAGGGAUGAUGNCUAAUACGCAUCAUCAUUGACGUUACCUACAGAAGAAGCACCGGCUAACUCCGUGCCAGCAGCCGCGGUAAUACGGAGGGUGCAAGCGUUAAUCGGAAUAACUGGGCGUAAAGCGCACGCAGGCGGUUAGAUAAGUCAGAUGUGAAAUCCCCGGGCUCAACCUGGGAACUGCAUUUGAAACUGUCUGACUAGAGUCUUGUAGAGGGGGGUAGAAUUUCAGGUGUAGCGGUGAAAUGCGUAGAGAUCUGGAGGAAUACCGGUGGCGAAGGCGGCCCCCUGGACAAAGACUGACGCUCAGGUGCGAAAGCGUGGGGAGCAAACAGGAUUAGAUACCCCUGGUAGUCCACGCUGUAAACGAUGUCGAUUUGGAGUUUGUGC
rnacentral:rRNA from 1 species